rnacentral:pre_miRNA from 1 species
AGUGGAAAACUUGCAUAACUACAGUUAAAGAUUAUUAUUCUUGUAUUAUGCAAUAUUUCACUCG